CCUCCAUCAUCAUCUCUCUCUCUCUCUCUCUCUCUCUCUCUCUCUCUCUCUCAUGUUCUUUGAAUCAUACCCGUAUACAAAUAUAUGAAUAUUCAUCGCCGACGUUGGCCACGACUACUAUUGCCGGUCGUUCACUCACUCUUCUCUCUGCAACUCUCUCUCUCUCUCUCUGAUUAGCCAAAAAAAAGAGAGAAUGUCGGGGGGACGAUUUGGCAUUCUCUCUCUUUCUCUCAUCCUCAGAAGUCUCUUAUUUGGUUCGACCAAUCGAUUUACCCAAUCUAUUUUUGGUUUUGGUAAUUUAUUUUUGGCGAAAAUUGAAGACCCAAGUAUUAAUCCAGCCAACAAUUCGGCUUCCCACUUCGUAACUCUCUCUCUCUCUCUCUCUCUCUCUCUCUCCAUAUAUAUACACAUGUAUAUGCAUGUAUACAGAUAUAUGUUUGGUCAUAUUUUUAAAAAAUCAAACCAAUACACAUCUUUAGAUUUGAUUUCCGAUUAGGGUUCUGCAACAAUUUCCCAUGGCAUUCAAAUGGCUGUCUAUGGGUGUGUUUCUAUGGUUUGAUUUUGGGGCAUUCGACUGGGUUUGUUUUUUGUUUUAUUAGGUGGAAAAGAGAUUAUAUUCAACUGGGUUUGUUGAUGGAUGUUUAUUUGUUUUCAUGACAUCCAAUUAAAGUUUUAUCCUUGUGCUGUGUAUGGUUGCGUUCGUGUUUUUUUGUUCCCAUUACCUCUGUGUAUAUAUAUGUAUAUAUGUGAGAAAUCGAGAAAGGGGUGAGAAACACAGGAACAAAGGAAAAAAGAGAUGGGGAAGAAGAAAGAGGCCAAAAAAGGGCACUAUCGUCAUAUUUCAUUUUCUGUCAAAUCGGAUGGAAAAAAUGACCGUGCACUUUGCCCAUCGGCCACGUUAAUCGAUGUUUGAUGAUAGUGAUUAUCUCAAAAUGAUGCAGAAUCUUGUGUCGAGGGAUAGAAAAACCAAGUCCUAGAUGGUAAGGAAUUACUUGAACUUACCAUAGUAUGAAUGCUUAUGCGUGGGCCAUGCUAGGAAUGCUGAGGUUCUAUGUUCUAUUUUAUCUUUUUGGUAUUUCUCUUUCUAAAUUGUAUUGUUUCCCUCUGGGAUAUUCUAAACUAUCAUCUGAGUACCAAUUGCCUUUUGGGUUACUUGAAGCAAGUUUCUGUUUCUUGAAACCAUGUUAGGUGUUACAACUGGGAAAUACUCGUACUGUCCCUCGAUCAUCUUCGUGUGUAGUAUGUUUGUUUCACUUGUUUUUUUCCCCCUUUAGCAUCCUAGUAUUCAUGCAAAGAUUAAUCAAUCAGAUCGCUAGCAGCACCGCAGUCUUGUUUGAUCGUGAAAGUAUGAAGAUUCAGCAACAUUUUUAGAGCUGGUAAAUACAGGUAAGUAGUGAUGUACAUAUAACCGUGCAUAAACAUGCAAGAAUAUGUCACAUAAUAACAGAAGCCAGAGCAGAGUAUCACAGGUUUUAAGAUGUGCUAUACAGUUGAAAUUGACUUUAGAAGUGGAACUUCGAAAGGAUCUAGGUUUGUUGGAUAUUGAGAGAAAAUCAUGCCCUUGACAAAGCUCAACGGAGAAAACGGAUUGAUGCAGCCAAACCCAAUUAAUUGGGACUUAAGGCUCGAUUUGGUUUGUAAAUUGACAAAAUCAGACUUCAGCCAACUCAAAUUGACACAUUAUCAAUCCGGAAUAUAGUUCUUCAUCUUCCUAAAUCAAUUUUAUUUCGUUACUUAUAAACUUGAUGUGGUUUGUGUGAAUUUGCAAGAGGAACAAAAACAUAUACUCUACUAUUCUCACUUCCUAUUGUGUGUAAAGGGAGACUUUCAUGUUGAAUGUAUAUGAUGGCAAGAAAGUCAAAAAUUGCCACCCACCACGCAAAUCAGUCAUCUAUAAUUACAGCAUUCAUUGCAACGACUUGUGAAUCACAAAGACAAAGAAAAGGCAACACAAGAAGAUCUAGCAUACCAUGACUGUGAGAAUGCCGUCUUUAUGUCAAGCUAAUGGUUGUCUUUUAGAGUAUUGGUUCCGUUUGUUUCGGCAAAAAAUGUUUUGUAUUUUCUGGUAAUUGAUCUGUUGAAAAAUGAAAGUGAACAAACAAUGUUUUGCUCGGUUGACAGAAAAUCAACCAGCAGGUAAAUUUUUACCCUACCUUUGAUUUAAGGAACCUUUGGAUUUUUAUUUCAUGUUACGCAUGAAUCUGGUACUUCUGUACUCUCCUUGCCAGAUCGGAGAAGGGAGCUUGAGAAGCAUGGGGUGAAGAAGGUGAUAGUACUGUUGCUAUUAUCAUCAGUUCAAGAAAUUAAUUGCCUUCCACAUAGACUUGUAAGCUAAAAGGGCUUUGCACAUCUCAUCAAACGAAGACACUUGCUUAGGAAAACGGGAAGAAGUUGAAAGCUAAAAGAAAAAGAACUAAUGUUCCAAAAUUCAAGCUUCCAGGACCUACAAAUAUGUUAAGAGUCAAGGAGAAGGCUGUGGUGACGGGUGUGCUCUCCAAAUAUGCAGCUCAAGCUGCUUCAGCUUCAAAGGGAAAACCUUAGUGUAGUUUGGUGUCGUUGGAGAUUGCUAUCUAUGAUUACUACCAUUAGCAAACUCACUUUGUAUACCAAAUAUAUGGCCCUGGUGGAUGAAUUGUCAAUUGCAUUUUCUGUUUUCUC